ACCUUGCUAACUUGGGAUUACUUGUACACAUGUCGCAACCGGAUUGAUUAAAAAGUAAAAAAAAAUCAAAAUAAAAAAAUUAAGAAUAAUUAAAAAAAACCACCUAACGAUAGUCGCAGCCACCCACGGCUAGCCAAUCCACUUCCCCCGGAGCGCGACAACCGCCCUUAGCUUGCCUUGGUGUCGUCACUUCCCCGACGCCCUCCAUCAACCUCUCUUCUCCCCUGCUCCUUCUCUCACGCACCAAACGGCCACAACCAUACCAAAACCGGUCUCCAUCAACCUCUCUUCUCUUGCGCCGAUUUUGUGGUUGAUUUCAUCACUGAUUUCGGCCUUUAGUGGCCAAUUUCGUGGUUGAUUUCGAAUGUUAGGGUUAUGGUUUGGGAUUUGGGGGUUGGGAUUUGGGGGAUUUUGGCUGGUUUGCAUGGUGAUCGAACAUGAAAGGGGAGGUGGUCGAGGAAGCACCGGCACUGGCGCUACGGGAGGGGGGGGGGAAAGGGGUUGGGCUGGUCGUGGCUGUUUUUCGUGGAGCUGCACGCCGACUCUGAUGAGUGCGUGAAGUGCACAAGGAAGGGGAAGCGGAAAGGUGAGCAGGGAGGCGGUGAUACAGAGGUGGGGGAAAGGAAGGUAGUGUUGUCGGCGUCGUGGAAUACUGGCUGGUUGUUGGUGGUCGUGGUGGGGAACUAAAGAGAGCAACGGGGAGGAUGGAGGAGAGAGAAGGCUAAGAUUCAACUCCAUUUGGCUUGCAGCCUCGCCUCGUUGACAUUCCUAGUAUCGGCAUGCAGGUAGAGUGUCUUUUGAGACUAAUAAAAACAAAGGGCAAGAAGAGCAAUAGCACGCGGAAAAAACAGAAGGUAGCACACGGAAAAAAUUAAGAGGAAACAAUACUAAAAGACCAAAACAAGUGGGGUUGAGUUGAGGUUGUGAUGUUGGAAUUGAUGAUCUCAAAAUAGUGAAAACCAGUAGCGCCACUCUUCCAUCCAAAUUGUCAUUAACUGUUAAAGGACGAUAUCCCCACAUCUCAAGAAUUUUCAAUAAUCACGACAAAUUGCUAUUAUUAAUACUUGUAUUUCAUUAAGGAGUACAUUAUUUAUCAAUUAGGACUUGGACCACCAUUCCUUUUUUUUUUUUUUUAGCUGUUUUAAAUUUGUACUGUAUAUCCCCGUCAAAAAAAUAAAAUAAAAAAUAAAAAUAAAAAUUGUACUGUAUAUCUUACGGAGUAAUAAUAUUGCAAUUUGAACACCAGUCA